UAGAGCAAUUUUUUAAUACUAACACUUUUUUAUAGUUUAUAAUACAAUGACCCACAUGGUUCCUGUCCCAGGAUAGUAUUGUGAUUUAAAAUAUGCAAUCCUUGCAAACAAAUCUAAUUUCAACUUCAAAAUAAAUCAAGUCUUUUCUUUUAUUCCCUGAAUAGUAUGAUGAGGAUACAUGAGUCUCAGCAAUUCUUCUUAAAAUCCUCUUUCUUUCCUCCAUCCCCAUCUGUCACUGUCAUACAUGAUUUAUUUCUGGACCUUUCUCCUCAAAUCCUCCAAAAACUCUCCCCUACCUUCAGUUUCUUCUACUAGUUUCUACUAUUAUACUCUUUUCUACUAUUUUCAACUUAUCUUUCCUCUCCUAGCCCCUCAUUAUAUAAAUUGACAUUAUAUGUAAAUAGGACAUUAUAUAUAAAUCGACACUAAAUUGUCCUCUUUCAUCCUCCCACUAUUCCCAUUUAUAUCUUUGUUCUCCUAUUCUUUUUCUAAGAGAACUGGCAAGACACCUUUUCAGGGGGAAAAAAACGACUGAGCAAAGCUGAAAAUAUCUCUUUUGUAGACAGGUUGUAAAUAUGAGAAAGACAAAAACUCUUCAUACCACCAGUAAUUUUGGGUUUGCUACACUGUAAUAGCUACAAAAUAUAUACUGAGUUUUCCAUAAAAAUAUAAAGCUGUUCAAUGAAGACUCUCUAAACUUAAAAUUCUGAAGCCCCCUUUCAUUCCAUACCGUAAUUUUUAAAUAACAUCAGCAGCAAGAGCCUAAUAAAUUGAAGGUUCCCUCCACUUGUUUUUAAGGACCUCAGAGAGUUUCAAACCUAGAAGAAAAUAGUGUUAGUGUGACUGCUUUUGCUCUUACACUUUCCUGCUUUGGAGAGUUGCCGUGAUCUGGAUUGAAAUUUUGGCCCUAAGCACCAUGAAAUCCCCGCCCCCCCGUGAUAUGAUGUGAGUCCCAAGAAACAUCUGGGGAUUUUGCGUAACGAGUCUCUAAAUCUUCAUUUCCCCAUGCGGCAAACAUACAGGUUGCACACUAUGAUUUAAUCAGCUGCCUUUAGAAAAACAGGCACUUAGAAUUCUAACAUACUGGAACCAGUUGUGGUAUUUUGAAAGUCACAGCAGGACCAGCUCACACCCUAGGACAGCUCUCAGUCGAGUUCUUUCUCUCAUAGUUCUCUUCUUUGUACAAAGCAAACUUUUCUUCCUUCGGUCAAAAGGACACAGCUAUCGACAUGAAAGCACAGUUCUCUUGUCUCAUGAAUCACAGAGUGACUUGGUUCCACAUUAGGUCACCAUAGAACACAGACUGUAACAGGAACACAUAAAAAUCCUAAAAGGGGAGGGGAGAGACGCUGUUCUGGAAUAUCGUUGCCAGAGUAACAUAAACCUUGUGUGUUUUCACAAGGAAAUGAGUCACUUGUUUCUGUUGGCUAAAACUCUGUUUUCUUUAAUUUCAUAUUUUAGUUGUCUAAUAUAUGCCGAAAGAGCCCAGGGUUUCCAGUCUUCAAAUGAAGCUAUCUUGCUAAUUAAGAACUCAACAGAGGGUUCGCAUGCACCCCAGGUGUGCUCAGGGCCUGAAAACCUGGGUUCAGACACCAGCUGGUUCUCUUGUUGCGAAGAGCUGCUUUUCUAAUUGUUUCCAAGAAGAGAAUGGUCAGCUACAAACUACUUCAUCAUAAGCAGAAGCAAAAAUCCAUAUCGUUUUAAGUGUGGGUUCUGGGGAGCCCUUGCUAUAGAAAUUAAGAGGAGCUACCAGAAGAUAUUUGCCCUGAGAAUACUCACUGGUGACCAUACCCAAGAGUCAGCAUAACUGGUUAUAACCACAAUUCUUCAAAACUACAACAAAACAUAGACCAGUCAUUCAACUUUCUGCACUUAAUAUACAAGGACAUUAACUGUUCUUCCUAAUUGAUAGAGUUGUCAUGAGAAAAGGUAUUUAUUUGUUUGGAAAAGUAAAUGUAUGCACAUUAAGAGUGUCGUCAAUUAGUUCUACAUGAUUGAAUAUUUGUUUGUUUCUCUAGCUGUUCUUUGGAUGAAUGUCUUUCUCUUUCAACUAUUCUGUAAAUACUUUAAGGACAGAGCCUAUGUCCUCUACUCCCAUUUUAUUUCCUGCAGUUUUCAGUACUGUGUAAUUCACAAACUAAGCAUUGUUUAAAUGUGUUACUGAAAAAAUGCCACUUUAUCCUGUGUCCGUGUAUGUUAAAGUAUUCUGAAGUACAUUAUGAGCCUCCUUUUGAUUUUUAUCAAUUGAUGUUUGUAAAUCUCAACUAGCGAUUCAUAAUGUUAUGUGCUGACAAA